rnacentral:piRNA from 1 species
UGAUAGCGAAAGCACAGUGGC